ACUCCUACGGGGAGGCAGCAGUAGGGAAUCUUCCACAAUGGGCGCAAGCCUGAUGGAGCAACACCGGCGUGAGUGAAGAAGGGUUUCGGCUCGUAAAGCUCUGUUGUUAAAGAAGAACACGUAUGAGAGUAACUGUUCAUACGUUGACGGUAUUUAACCAGAAAGUCACGGCUAACUACGUGCCAGCAGCCGCGGUAAUACGUAGGUGGCAAGCGUUAUCCGGGAUUUAUUGGGCGUAAAGAGAGUGCAGGCGGUUUUCUAAGUCUGAUGUGAAAGCCUUCGGCUUAACCGGAGAAGUGCAUCGGAAACUGGAUAACUUGAGUGCAGAAGAAGGGUAGUGGAACUCCAUGUGUAGCGGUGGAAUGCGUAGAUAUAUGGAAGAACACC
rnacentral:rRNA from 1 species